UCUAAUAUGGCAGAAAAGUGCAGUAGGUUUAAGCCCCACAAAUGAAGUAUUAUUAUUAUUUCUAUUAGAA
rnacentral:tRNA from 1 species